UCUCCCACUUAUUACAGAUGUCCGGCUUAGAUAUGUUGAGCAUCCUGCUAUGAUGUCCAUCACCAAGCCAGAACACUCCGAGGCCAACCCUCAGUGCCAGACUGGCAGCCGGCCGGUGGCUGAGCCCGAGACCCCUGCUGUUCACAAGAACAGUGGAAGCUGGCUCAGCUGGGUCUUUGGGAGUGGAAAAGUUCAUAAGAAGGAGGUUCAUCUACCCGAGGACAAAGACAGAUCUAUUGUCUGGGAUCCAACUCUGCACAGAUGGGUUGACAAAACUGAGCCCAAGGCUGAGGUAUACACUUAAAUUACAUUCAAU